rnacentral:rRNA from 1 species
GGAGGAAAGCAGGGGAUCGCAAGACCUUGCGCUCAUUGAGCGGCCGAUGCCUGAUUAGCUAGUUGGUGAGGUAAAGGCUUACCAAGGCGACGAUCAGUAGCUGGUCUGAGAGGACGACCAGCCACACUGGGACUGAGACACGGCCCAGACUCCUACGGGAGGCAGCAGUGGGGAAUUUUGGACAAUGGGGGAAACCCUGAUCCAGCCAUGCCGCGUGAGUGAAGAAGGCCUUCGGGUUGUAAAGCUCUUUCAGCCGGAACGAAACGGUCACGGCUAAUACCUGUGACUACUGACGGUACCGGAAGAAGAAGCACCGGCUAACUACGUGCCAGCAGCCGCGGUAAUACGUAGGGUGCGAGCGUUAAUCGGAAUUACUGGGCGUAAAGCGUGCACAGGCGGUUUUGUAAGUCAGAAAGGAAAUCCCCGGGCUUAACCUGGGAACUGCGU